GGUGGGGUUCGAGAGUGGCUUAAUCGAGCAGCUUGGAAAGCUGUGACCCUAACGGGUCCCGUGGGUUCGAAUCCCACCCCCACCG
rnacentral:tRNA from 1 species